GCAUCACACAGGUUGCCAGGGAAGUGGGGGAAAGCGGCCAGUCACAGAACUCUCCCAGCUCCCACGCAGCCCGCGGCCUGAAAGGCUGGUCUCACUCCCACUGAGUGGCUUGCAUAUGAUCUUAUAUAUACUCUCACUCUCACUCCUGGCUUGUAUAUGAUCUUAUACAAGUUAGAAAAGCAAGCUGACUCACAGUUUCUUGGCUCUCCCACAGAGCCUGCAGUGGCUAUCCACCUCCUUCAAAGGGUCUGUGGAUUCUCUUGGCUUUCCUGGUAUGUUCCCGCUAUAGUUCUUGGAGCAAAAGUUCACAUUGUGGGUCUCCAGAGGCUGCUCUGUUUAUCCGAAUGGGAGCUGAAAGAAUGCCUGUUACUAUGCAUCUAACAAAGGACUAAAAUCCAGAAUCUACAAGGAACUAAACUCAACAAGAAAAAAUAAUCUCAUUAACAAGUGGGGAAAAGAUAGGAACAGACAUUUCUCAAAAGAAGAUAUACAAGAGGACAAGAAACAUAAAAUAAAAUGCUCAAUAUCACUAACCGUCAGUGAAAUGCAAGUUAAAACCACAAUGAGAUGCCACAUCACACCGGUCGGAAUGGCCAUUAUUAAAAAGUCAAAAAACCACAGAUGUCGACAAAGAUGCAGAGAAAAGGGAGCACUUAUACACCGUUGGUGCGAAUAUGAAUUAGUACAACCUCUAUGGACAACAGUAUAGAGAUUUCUCAAAGAAGUAAAAAUAGAACCACCAUUAGGCCCAGCAAUCCCACUACUGGGUAUCUACCCAAAGAAAGAGAAAUUGUUAUAUAUAUAUAUCUGCACUCAUAUGUUUAUCACUGCACUAGUCGCAGUAACAAAGUCAUGGAAUGAACCUAAGUUUCCAUCAAAAGAUGAUUGGAUAAAGAAAAUGUGGAAUACCAUGAAAUACUACACAUCCGUAGAAAAAAAAUUAUGUCUUCUGCAGCAACAUGGAUGUAACUGGAGGUCAAAAUACUCAGAAACACAACAUCAAAUACCACAUGUUCUCACUUAUAAAUGGGAGACAUGUACAAACAGAGAAAAAUAGUCAAGGCUGGGGACUUUAAAAGAGGGGCUUGGGAGGGACUUGAGAGUUGAAAAAUUACCUACUGGAUACAAUGUUCAUUAUUCAGGUAAUAGGAACAUUAGAAGCCCAAAUCUCAGCUUUCCACAAUAUAUCCAUGUGACAAAUCUGCAUAUAUACCCACUGAAUCUAUAAAAAUAAAAUGAAUAAAUUUUAAAAAGCAUGUUUCAACACUUCA